UCUCCAGGCCUGUUAUCACCCUGUCCUCUAUCUCUCCAGGCCUGUUAUCACCCUGUCCUCUAUCUCUCCAGGCCUGUUGUCACCCUGUCCUCUCUCUCUCCAGGCCUGUUAUCACCCUGUCCUCUAUCUCUCCAGGCCUGUUAUCACCCUGUCCUCUAUCUCUCCAGGCCUGUUAUCACCCUGUCCUCUAUCUCUCCAGGCCUGUUGUCACCCUGUCCUCUAUCUCUCCAGGCCUGUUAUCACCCUGUCCUCUCUCUCUCCAGGCCUGUUAUCACCCUGUCCUCUCUCUCUCCAGGCCUGUUAUCACCCUGUCCUCUCUCUCUCCAGGCCUGUUAUCACCCUGUCCUCUCUCUCUCCAGGCCUGUUAUCACC